AUUGAACGCUGGCGGCAGGCCUAACACAUGCAAGUCGAGCGAGCGGCGGACGGGUGAGUAAUGUAUGGGGAUCUGCCCGAUAGAGGGGGAUAACUACUGGAAACGGUGGCUAAUACCGCAUACUAUCUGAUGAACCCAUAUGGGAUUAGCUUGUAGGUGGGGUAAAGGCUCACCUAGGCGACGAUCUCUCGCUGGUCUGAGAGGAUGAUCGGCAACACAGGAACUGAGACACGGCCCAGACUCCGACGGGAGGCAGCAGUGGGGAAUAUUGCACAAUGGGCGCAAGCCUGAUGCAGCCAUGCCGCGUGUAUGAAGAAGGCCUUAGGGUUGUAAAGUACUUUCAGCGGGGAGUCGUUACCCGCAGAAGAAGCACCGGCAAACUCCGUGCCAGCAGCCGCGGUAAUUC
rnacentral:rRNA from 1 species